CUGAGUUUGAUCCCUGGCUCAGAUUGAACGCUGGCGGCAGGCCUAACAYAUGCAAGUCGAGCGGUAACAGANAGUAGCUUGCUACUUUGCUGACGAGCGGCGGACGGGUGAGUAAUGCUUGGGAACAUGCCUUGAGGUGGGGGACAACAGUUGGAAACGACUGCUAAUACCGCAUAAUGUCUACGGACCAAAGGGGGCUUCGGCUCUCGCCUUUAGAUUGGCCCAAGUGGGAUUAGCUAGUUGGUGAGGUAAUGGCUCACCAAGGCAACGAUCCCUAGCUGGUUUGAGAGGAUGAUCAGCCACACUGGGACUGAGACACGGCCCAGACUCCUACGGGAGGCAGCAGUGGGGAAUAUUGCACAAUGGGCGCAAGCCUGAUGCAGCCAUGCCGCGUGUGUGAAGACAGGCCUUCGGGUUGUAAAGCACUUUCAGUCAGGAGGAAAGGUUAGUAGUUAAUACCUGCUAGCUGUGACGUUACUGACAGAAGAAGCACCGGC
rnacentral:rRNA from 1 species